rnacentral:lncRNA from 1 species
AUGAGAAAGAGGCAGUGCACAGCCACGGCCACGGUCAUGGUCACGGUCGCAGCCACAGUCACAGCACCAGUCACGGCCACGGUCACGGUCACACAGGCGUACGUACAGCGUACAGCUGAUCUCAAGCGCGGCUACAGGAGGUCGACUUUAAAGUGUCCACACGAGUCUCUUCUCGUGCUCUUGAUUGUGGACACAAGAUGGAAAGAUGGACAGCACUCAGGUCCCAAGCAUCUGAGACCAUGUGCGUGUCCUGCGGCCCUGAUCUCCAGCCUACGGCAGCCAAAGAUGCCAUCAGCUAUAUCGGUAGGAUUGAACAGAGUGGAACACGUUAUUCAGCGGAAAUUUACAUUAUUUCUGUGCUGCCGGCUUUUCCAAUCCAAUAUAUGCACUGUGUUGUUUAGCACCUGUUUCGCAUCUCCUAAGCAGCAGCUCUGUUUCACGCCCUGCUAACCCUGCCUUCUCUCCUCACUGCCGGACAGCUGGCCGCUCGCAACGGGGCUUCGGAUCAGGCCAAGGGACUCUCUCUACAGGCGGCUGGCAGCUCGCAGGUAUCUGACACCCUGCACAAAGCUGAGCUCCGUCAUGCGUUUCCGUCAUGCUACUCAAACGCCCCGGCUAAUAAUGCACUCUAGAGCAUCGCUGCAAUCUCAAACGCAUAAUUGUGAGUGCAAGGAAGGCCCUUUCAACCUACUGAGCCACUUGAGGAUCCAUCAAGAGGGAUUUGUGGUUAUCGACACCCACAGUGAGGCAUGCCAGGCAAUAGUCAUGAUGGAUCCCGAUGAUGAGGUGUUGGUGAUGCUGCAUUUGUUGUUUUUCAGAGCCUACAUGCCUUGUAAUGCCAGGUGAAAUUCCACGGUGAGCUAUUUGUCCAACAGGAGUAAUGUAAAGCCAGAACAUGUGUAAGCAGGUGUCCACCACAGUCUUUUCCUCUAUGCACUGUAUGAUUCAGAAAUAUGUAGUGUCACUGCUAUUCAUCAAGCUGGUUUAGAAGUAAAGAAUCAACAUGUAAGCUUUUUCCUUUUUUCUUAACCCUCAGAUUGUGUUCUGAUCAAAUAUGACCCAUUUACUGCUUUUAUCUGUCAUAAAUAUGGAACGUUUUAUCCAGUUGACAUCAUCAUGACAUCCUCCACCCUAGGCAUCAUAAAAUAGCAAUAACCAAUUUAGUUGAAUGUGUGUUAUUCCCAUUUUGCACAUCUGUGGUGUGUCCGGUCAGAUCUGGCCAACCGUAGAAUAAAAUAAAGACCAGAUAAUCGAAUUUAAAAUUC